UCUAGAUGCCUCUUGGUCUCUGUUCAUUGAACCGAAUAAUUGACUUUCCCUUUUUAUUGAGGUCUUCAUUUUUAGAGUUUACCCAGUUAUCCUUUUAAUACUAAAUAUUUAGAAAAUGUACAGUUGAUUCAUGUUUCUUUGUUUUGUUUUAGCAAAUGGUGAAAUAAGGCAGAUUAUUCUCCUUGUUGACUAGCUAGUUGCACCUGAUUUCAGAAGAGAUUGCAACACUACUUAAAUUGAAUGAUUGCAUUAUAGUUAACUUUCAACUCAAUAUGAUGUUGCCGUUCAUUCAUGUUCAUGAUUCCAUUAACAUCUGGUCAGGUAAUGAAACAUAAUGUUAUAAUUCUGCCUUUGUGUUGUAUGGUUUAGAAUUACAUAUAUAACUUCACUUUAACUGCUAACCACUUUAAGGAAUCAUUGCUUCAUGUGAUCUUCGAUCUUAACAUAUGCUCGAGAAAUGGAACUUGGUACUAAUGAGCAGAAGAUUAAAAACUGGGUCCACCAUUAGCCGACUAGUUCCAUUUUGAUGUAUAUACGAGUUAUGAUCAAUGAUCUGUGAAUGCUUCAUGGUUGCUUGAAAUUAUACUUGUGUGAAUAUCCUUUUGGGAUGAAGUAGCUAGCAUGAUGAUGCCACAACUAUUCACUCAUUUUGGCCGACGUUCGAAAUUGUUGCUAAUUGACUUGCCCCAUGCCUCUGUUUUUCUAUCUGAAGAAUUGACUUGGAUUUUUUUAUCAGUGUCUUCUUCUUUCUUAGAGAUCGUCCAGUGAUUUUCUUAUAAUACUAAAUAUUUAGCCAAUAUACAUCAGUUUCCUGUUUUUCCAAGUAUUGUUCUAGCCCACUAUUAAAUGUGGCCAUCAUCCUCUCAAUUGUUUCAGUAGCAAGUAGAACCUCAUUGUUAGAGGAGCUUUAUGCGCUGAUCGUUAAAUUGAAUGCAAUGAUCACAUUACAGUCAGCUUGUCAGUGAAAUGUUUUGUUGCAAUUCAUUCUUCUUCAUCCGGCCAUUGCACCUGGUUCGGUAUUAAUUGCCGUUAUUGAUCACAGAUCAUAUGAUGUGCCAUUCCUGCAGGGUAAUUCCUUAGUUAUUCACAUUAGUUGUAGGCUACUAAGAUAUUAUAAAUAGUGGAGAAAUUCUUUGGAGUGUGGUUACAGUUUACAAUGUUGAUUCAGUAUACAAGUUUUAACACUCGUGAUCUGAAACCAGUGAACAGCUGAAACUGUAGUUAUUGUUCUUGUACCACAGCAACAACGCGGGCAUCCUUGACUGUAUUCUUUGUUUUGCGGAGCUAGCUUCUUUUAACCAAUUAUGUGGUACCCUUGGCUUAAGAAUGGAAAGAAAUCUACAAGUAAGGCCAUUGGUUUAGGAGCUCAUAGCUGGGGUGAGGUUAACUUAAGCUGAGAGUCAGUUAAGAACACCCAGCCAAAACAGUGAAACAUGUGUGAGAAACAACAGAACCGAACCAAAAGGAGGAAGACCAGGGAGAAAAAUGGUUCAAACACUGGGUGGAAAGAAUAGAUAGAAAAUACUAGGUGAAAAAUCAGAUGCAAAAUGGUGGGAAACAAAAAAAAUUGUAGAUUAGAAAAUAAACAAAGAAAAAACUAGCGGUACCUUAAAGUUCCUAGGAUUGUUCAGCAGUACUUCCUAGGAGGUUUUCACCCUGUUUCUUGAGUAGAUAUGUACCUAGCAAAAGAAGUACCUAUCAUCCAAAUUAACAUGCCACGGUCCAAAUUAACUUAACCUUUGCUUUCCCAGUUAUCUAGGGGUCCGAAUUAACAUGUACCUAGUUUUUAUUGAGGUUUACUUUUCUAGAGAUUAUCCAGUUGUCUUUUUAAUACUAAUUAUUUAGCAAAUGCAAUUUUGGUUCCCAUUUUGUGUUUUGUUUUAGCCGACGGUGAAAUGAGGCAGAUUUUCCUCCUUGUUGGCUAGCAAGUUGCACCUGAUUUUCAUAAGAGCGUGGCGUGCUAGUUAAAUUGAAUGAUUGCAUUAUAGUCAACUUUCAAGUGAAAUGUUCUGUUUCAGUUCAUAAUUCCAUUGAAUCUGGUUUAUUGAAGGCCAUCAAGUGGUUUUCUCAAUAAUAUUAAAUGGUUAGCCAAUAUACAUCAAUUUCCUCUUUCUAUGUACUGUGUAGCCGACGAUUACAUGUGGCUGAUCAUCAUCUUGAUUUGUUCAGUUUGACCUGAUUGUCAGAGGAGUUUGGAGCACUGCUUGUUAGAUUGAAUGGAGCGAUUGCAUUACAGUCAACUUGGCCAUGUCAAGUGCCAUUUCUCGAAAGUAGAUUGCACAAUUUGUCACAGCACGUAUGGUGUGCCAUUCCUGCAGGGUGAUUCGUCCUCAGUUGCUCACAUCACUUGUAGGUCCCAUUAUCUGUUGCAUGCAUGCCCCCACUGGCAUCUGCACGCGUGUGUGAUAAAUAUACCCAUUGUGGCUGCAAUAUGUUUUUUGUUGAUGUAUACAAAGUUAUGAUCGAGAAGCUCCAACAGUUAAUGGUUGCAUA